rnacentral:sRNA from 1 species
GACAUCGACCAAAAUCAGAGAAUGUGCCAUUUGACCCAAAAGAGCAGCGAUGUCAGUGUCUGAAGAAAAUGCCAACAUUCGAGACCACCACCGCCGCUUGCUGGCGGCGAAAUACGAGCUAAGGCGGAACCUGUACAAGGCCCUCUGCAAGGACCCAACCCUUCCCAGCGAUCUGCGCGAGGAGAACCGCUUCAAGCUCUCCAAGCUGCCCCGGAACAGCUCCUUCACGCGCGUCAGGAACCGCUGCAUCUUCUCCGGCCGCGCACGCGCCGUCUACGAGACCUUCCGUAUGUCCCGUAUCGUUUUCCGUGCUCUCGCCUCCAAAGGCAUGCUAAAUGGCGUUAAGAAAGCGUCUUGGUAGCCUCCCAAAACGAUUGCUGAUAAGACUGCAGAAGUCAGUAAAGUUCAUCUGUUGCUAUGUUACUGAUCGGAAUACGACAGACUGGUCAUUCCCUUCUUCUUCUGGUUAUGGUAAAAAGUAAUACGUUUAUUGGUGUUGAAUAAAAAAGUUUUAGGCUUAACGAUUUGCGCUUACAUUGUUUUUGAGUCGAAGUAUGGAACAGAGCGUGUGUGCUUCUUCGUGCGCGUGAACAUUGUUCGUAGGAGAGGAAACUAACAGCUUUAAGAUCAGAAACAAGGGAAGAAGCUUUUGAGCUCUACUUUGAAUUGCUUGAUCAUCUCAUUAAGAUCCUCCUGGAUCAUAAUAUAACUCAAGGUGCUUAACACACAUGACAGCCUACUCUGAAUCCGAAAAGCACCCAAAGAAAAGAAUUUGUGUACAGGUAGAACACAGGAUAAUAAAACUUGUCAAAACUAGCAUUUCGAUUGAUAAUAUGCUACACGUCAUGAUCGGAAUAAGAAGGUUGUGUCAAAUAUGUUAGAUGGCCACUAAGUUUUGUUAAAAAACUGUCGAUGGCCGUCCCAACCGCCAGUAUACAAAUAUGUUAGUGAUUAUCACAACCUCAAUGAUCCAGCAGCCAUUCAAUGUUGAGAAUGAGUCCCACAUUUUUGGGAGGAGGGGAUCUUGCAUGAGGGCUUAUAAGAGGUUGUGCUACUUCCUAUAUUUCUUAUUGGUUUUAUAAUGAA